GAAUUCAAUUCGGUCGUCUGUGCUGGUGGAGACGCAUGUGCACGUCGAUCGUAAUUCCAUCCUCCUCCCAAUCGUCCGAGUGUGUGUCGGGUCGUGGCCCUUCUUGGGUCCCUUCCCUGGACACGCCUCGGUUAUUUUCACCCACUCUGGGUAUUCGAAACGAAGAACGUAAUACAAACAAACUUAACAACUUUCAACAACGGAUCUCUUGGUUCU
rnacentral:misc_RNA from 1 species